rnacentral:tRNA from 1 species
GGCAUGGUGGUGCAGUGGGUAGCACUGUGUUCUCACAACUAGGUCCUUGGUUCGAAUCCAGCCUGGGCCU